UUAUGGCCAUAUAACGUUGAAACACCGGUUCCCGUACGGUCACCGAAGUUAAAAAAACGUUGAGCCUGGUCAGUUACCUAGAUGGGUGACCGCUUGGGAAUACCAGGUAC